GACGAACGCUGGCGGCGUGCUUAACACAUGCAAGUCGAACGGAAAGGCCCUGCUUGCAGGGUACUCGAGUGGCGAACGGGUGAGUAACACGUGGGUGAUCUGCCCUGCACUUCGGGAUAAGCCUGGGAAGCUGGGUCUAAUACCGGAUAGGAGCCAUUUUUAGUGUGAUGGUUGGAAAGUUUUUUCGGUGUAGGAUGAGCUCGCGGCCUAUCAGCUUGUUGGUGGGGUAAUGGCCUACCAAGGCGGCGACGGGUAGCCGGCCUGAGAGGGUGGACGGCCACAUUGGGACUGAGAUGAGGCCCCGACUCCGACGGGAGGCAGCAGUGGGGAAUAUUGCACAAUGGGCGCAAGCCUGAUGCAGCGACGCCGCGUGGGGGAUGACGGCCUUCGGGUUGUAAACUCCUUUCGCUAGGGACGAAGCUUUUCGUGACGGUACCUAGAUAAGAAGCACCGGCUAACUACGUG
rnacentral:rRNA from 1 species